rnacentral:rRNA from 1 species
GAUGAACGCUGGCGGCGUGCCUAAUACAUGCAAGUCGAGCGAACAGACGAGGAGCUUGCUCCUCCGACGUUAGCGGCGGACGGGUGAGUAACACGUGGAUAACCUACCUAUAAGACUGGGAUAACUUCGGGAAACCGGAGCUAAUACCGGAUAAUAUAUUGAACCGCAUGGUUCAAUGGUGAAAGACGGUUUUGCUGUCACUUAUAGAUGGAUCCGCGCCGCAUUAGCUAGUUGGUAAGGUAACGGCUUACCAAGGCAACGAUGCGUAGCCGACCUGAGAGGGUGAUCGGCCACACUGGAACUGAGACACGGUCCAGACUCCUACGGGAGGCAGCAGUAGGGAAUCUUCCGCAAUGGGCGAAAGCCUGACGGAGCAACGCCGCGUGAGUGAUGAAGGUCUUCGGAUCGUAAAACUCUGUUAUUAGGGAAGAACAAAUGUGUAAGUAACUAUGCACGUCUUGACGGUACCUAAUCAGAAAGCCACGGCUAACUACGUG